rnacentral:rRNA from 1 species
UACGAAGGGGGCUGGCGUUGCUCGGAAUCACUGGGCGUAAAGCGCACGUAGGCGGGUUGCCAAGUCGGAGGUGAAAUCCUGGAGCUCAACUCCAGAACUGCCUUCGAUACUGGCGAUCUUGGAGUCCGGGAGAGGUGAGUGGAACUGCGAGUGUAGAGGUGAAAUUCGUAGAUAUUCGCAAGAACACCAGUGGCGAAGGCGGCUCACUGGCCCGGUACUGACGCUGAGGUGCGAAAGCGUGGGGAGCAAACAGG